UUUUACUUUUGCUAGGGUUCAGUUGUAUUGUUUUUCUGUUUCUUCCUGUUUAGGGUUUUAGUCUAAUCUAUCCGUUUUUUGUUUAAAUCUUGAAACUGUGAUAUUUGCUUUUACUUUUGCUAGGGUUUGUAUUUGUUUUUCUGUUUCUUCCUGUUUAGGUUUUUAUUAUCUAAUCUAUCCGUUUUUUGUUUAAACCUUGAAACUGUGAUCAAUGGCUGCGGCAGCGGGAGCGGGACUUAAUGAGUAAUGAAAUGGUUAUUAUGGAGAUUUGUGGAAAUGAUAAUAAACUCAUGCAAGAAUAAUUCCAGAAUCAAACUUUAAGGCAGAUAUUCCAUGGACAUCAGCUACAAAUAUUUCAAGUGAUGUCCCAGAGGUAAAAUUGUAUAAAGGCCUUCCAGUAUAAGCAAACAAAGGGUCAAAAGAACUUACAAACCCCAAGAAAAGAAGCUCAAAGUGAGUUGGCACAUGAGGCUUCUAUUAGUCCAAGCAUGUAUGGUGAUUGACAGUACCUGACUCCCCCUCGUGCUCAAAUUCCAGUAAACCGUUGUGAAUGAAAGAUAAGAUUUGGAUGCUCUAUAUAGGUGGUUGAUCAACUGGUAAAGGUUCAGCCCUGCUCGGUGCCUCGGGUUUCUUACGGCAAGAUAAAGACUCAAAAUUUUCAUCCCGCCAAGUUAAUUAUGACCAGAUAUAUAUGUUCCGGAGUCAAAUACUCAUUGUGUACAGAAAACGUUGUUGAUUGAGAUGAAAAAGACUGAUGCGAGGUAUAAUGGAAUCAUCUUAAGUUAGUGUUUUGUGAUUUUCCAUUGAAGUUAUUUGUUGCAGUUGUUGGUGAUGCCUAUAUUUGAGCGCAUGAAAUUGAGGAAACUAUGGAACUCAAACAUAAGUUCGGCUAACGGCUAAUAAAGAUGGCCUGAGCAUUGGUACAUUAAACAUAAACAUGGGUGUCGACACUGGUGGUAAUGGGGCAAGCCAAUAUGGUUUGAAAAUGUUGUGGGAGAAGUUGCUGGGGAAUUCUCUUUGAGUAUUAAGAGCUGCAAACUCUCUUUGAGGUAACAGAUUACUACUGGCUACUGAGGUUAGCUUCGGGGUAAAGCUCAAUACUAAGCUGAAAAAAUUAUGAUUGCUUAUGGCAACCAUAAAUGAAAGGCACCGUAUUCAAAAAUAUGUGACCAAAACCUCAUAUCAACUUGAAACGGUAGACUGGGGUGUUGAUGUCAUGUUGACCAUGUUUUCUGCAUAUGGAAAAUCACUAGACGUGAAGAUUCAAUUGCAAAGAAUAAACUGCUUUCUUCCUUAGUAUUCUUGCCUACCUCGGUUGAAGGGGUGGUGCUUCAAGUAUCAAAGGCAGAGAAGAGAUAACAUGAUAACUUCGGUACCUUACACGAUAUGUGGGUGGUGAAAAAGGAACGAGAUAUAUAGUGGAGCUCAUGGGGAUUGAAAAGGAACAAGACUAGACUGAGACUAGACUGAUAUUGACUAUUCAAGAAAACGCUAUUUCUUUGAUGUCCUUGAGACGACACUUCUAGGCUGCCCAAGCUUGCAAGUUAUUUCAUUUGGUGAGACAUCAUUACAGGAUAUUUAUAUUAUUCCGUCCUUUGGAUCUGUAAUUGUUCUUCUUUCAAUAUAUAACCUUUCUUC